UACAGAGGAUGCAAGCGUUAUCCGGAAUGAUUGGGCGUAAAGCGUCUGUAGGUGGCUUUUUAAGUCCGCCGUCAAAUCCCAGGGCUCAACUCUGGACAGGCGGUGGAAAACUACCAAGCUGGAGUACGGUAGGGGUAGAGGGAAUUUCCAGUGGAGCGGUGAAAUGUGUAGAUAUUGGAAAGACCACCAUGGCGAAGGCACUCUACUGGGCCAUACUGACACUGAGAGACGAAAGCUAGGGGGAGCAAAUGGG
rnacentral:rRNA from 1 species